GGAUGUGAGGGCGAUCUGGCUGCAACAUCUGUCACCCCAUUGAUCGCCAGGGUUGAUUAGGCUAUCUGGCUGGCUAGGCAGGUGUCCCCUUCCUCCCUUACCACUCCAUGUGAGUCCCUCUCUUCCCUCCCAAAGGACAGCCUUCCCAAAAUAGAUACUGACCAGUCUUUGAUUGAAGCU
rnacentral:snRNA from 1 species